UACAGAGGUGGCAAGCGUUGUUCGGAUUUAUUGGGCGUAAAGGGUCCGUAGGCGGUUCGGAAAGUCAGAUGUGAAAUCCUACAGCUUAACUGUAGAACUGCAUUUGAAACUUCCGGACUAGAGUAUGAGAGGGGUUAAGGGAAUUCCCGGUGUAAGGGUGAAAUCUGCAGAGAUCGGGAGGAACACCAGUCGCGAAGGCGCUUAACUGGCUCAUUACUGACGCUCAGGGACGAAAGCUAGGGGAGCAAACGGG
rnacentral:rRNA from 1 species